CCACCCAGCACUGUAUUGGGCAAUUGAAUCGUUCUUGGCGCCAGAUGGAGUACCAGGUCGCGGCUCCAGCCGUCGAGUUCUUCCUCAUUGUUGCUACUCAUCCAUAUCUGGAACCUCAUCUUCUAUCAUCCUCUGCUUGCGUGGUAAACUCUUAGCCGAUAUUCAUUUCGACGUUACAUCUGCGGGAUGUAGGUGCAGAGACAAGUGAAUAGAGGGAGAAUCAGUCACUAAACCGAGCGAUGAGGCGGAGGAGACGUGUUUGGAGAGACAUUCGUGUUUUUGGUUCAGAAUCUCGAAGUCUGUCAAGAGGUGUAAAAAUAAAAGGUUAGAUCGGUUGAUGUUGGAAGAAUUUGCUGGAGCUUUUAAGCAUCGUCAUCUACCUCCCCAAUCUCAUCUCCACACCGUUAUUAAUCUGAAUCAAGGUGAGGUGUACCUGCAUUUUCUAUUUUUGUCUCCUUGAGACUGCAAGUUGGCGACCCUUGCGUGCCUGUUUUUUUAAUAUCACCAAAAGCUUACCAAACCCAAACCGGUUGCAUGUGCGGUCCCUUCAGCCACUUUUUGUUUACAUGUGAAAGCAGGACCAUUCUGUCCUGCACCAUUUGGGAUCAAAAGUCUAUUAUGCCAGUGGUGGGUUUGGGCCGUUAUAAGCAAGUUGCCUUGUACUAA